rnacentral:rRNA from 1 species
UACGGAGGAUGCGAGCGUUAUCCGGAUUUAUUGGGUUUAAAGGGUGCGUAGGCUGGUAAUUAAGUCAGUGGUGAAAUACUCCGGCUCAACCGGGGGGCUGCCGUUGAUACUGGUUACCUUGAGUUUAGAUGAUGUAGGCGGAAUGUGUCAUGUAGCGGUGAAAUGCAUAGAGAUGACACAGAACACCGAUAGCGAAGGCAGCUCACAAAGCUAUUACUGACGCUGAUGCACGAAAGCGUGGGGAUCAAACAGGA